rnacentral:rRNA from 1 species
CCAGAGACCGAUAGCGCACAAGUAGAGUGAUCGAAAGAUGAAAAGCACUUUGGAAAGAGAGUCAAACAGCACGUGAAAUUGUUGAAAGGGAAGCGCUUGCAGCCAGACUUGCUUGCAGUUGCUCAUCCGGGCUCUUUUGCCCGGUGCAUUCUUCUGCAGGCAGGCCAGCAUCAGUUUGGGCGGUGGGAUAAAGGUCUCUGUCACGUACCUCUCUUCGGGGAGGCCUUAUAGGGGAGACGACAUACCACCAGCCUGGACUGAGGUCCGCGCAUUUAUGCUAGGAUGCUGGCGUAAUGGCUGUAAGCGGCCCGUCUUGAAACACGGACCAAGGAGUCUAACAUCUAUGCGAGUGUUUGGGUGUCAAGCCCGAACGCGUAAUGAAAGUGAACGGAGGUGGGAACCCGCAAGGGUGCACCAUCGACCGAUCCUGAUGUCUUCGGAAGGAUUUGAGUAAGAGCAUGGCUGUUGGGACCCGAAAGAUGGUGAACUAUGCUUGAAUAGGGUGAAGCCAGAGGAAACUCUGGUGGAGGCUCGCA